UGCCUUUCCCAAUAAACAAAAUGGUGGCAGGCAUGAAAAGGCUCCAGGAAGUGGUUUAUUUGAAAAUAUUUUAACACGUGUGGGACACGGGUGAGCAUCCCAACAGAUGUCGGAGGGUUGGAACAGACUGCAGCUUCUGUUUCUUCGGAUGAGUUGUUUUGUUGCAGUGGCAUGGCUGCCAUCUUUGGAGGCUCCCUGUUCCUCUGUGAGGAGAGCAGACAACUCACCGUGGCAAAUCAUCUGCUGAGAAGAUGGACGGCUGCCAUGCCACAGCCACCGGGCGAUCAGCGACGGCGGAUCAGCCGUGUUUCAGAACACCGAGACGGCGGGCUCCGAACGUGGGUCUCGAGUAAAAGCCGUCGAGGGAAAACUAACACGUGAGAACACGCGAGUCGCUGGGUCGGGGUUCAGCGGGAUGGAGGGAGCCGUUCCAUCGCCCUGUGAGUUUGACGCGGCAUGCCCGACUUACACGCGCAGCACCCAAGGCUACACAUUUUCCAGACAAGCCUCGACCCAGAGAGGAACGCCGUGGCUCCCCAAACCUAUGGCCUACUCAUCUCAAGCGGCGGGCUGGAUCCAGGUUCAUGUUGCGCACACAUAAUGAAAGCCGAGGAGACGCUCUCAAGGGAAGGGGAAAGUGGAUCUUACUGUGUUACCUCUGAACACAUUGCCUUGAUACGCUCGCGUAGUCGUGCGUGCAGCACAGUGUUCGCUAGGUUUUGUAAUGACACAGGAAAAAAAAACCAGCCUGAAGGUGAAAGAAAAGUUCAGCUGUGAUCGACUCGUCGUAAAACUCGCACAGGCGCCAAUACUGAAAGCAUGUAUUUUAAAUAAGCGCUGUCAAUUAAAUGCAGUUACUUGAGAUGGAAAAUGAAGCAAAAGUUUAAAUAUGUUUUACAACUUGGAUUUUACAAAAUAUGUGUGAAAUGAAUACAAGUAUGUACAGACACGUGCAUAUACAGAUAUUGAUAAACAAA